CACCGCCCCGUCACACCAUGGAAGCCAGCUGUACCGGAAGUCGGUGCGCCAACCCGCAAGGGGAGGGUAGCCGCCCCAUGGUAUGACUGGUGACUGGGGUG
rnacentral:rRNA from 1 species